GAAGCUUCCAAUCAUGACUGAAGAUGAAGGGGAGCCAGCGCAUCAUGUGAUGAGAAAGAGAGGGCCUUGGGCUUCUAACUCCCACCGUCUACCGGGACCUGAGCAGCACCAACCACAAGAGGGCAGACAGACAGACCACCCACAGGCUACCUCCGGGCCUCCUCUGGAUGACCAACUCCUUUAUGCCCAGGCCUGUGUCAAGCACUGG
rnacentral:lncRNA from 1 species